UUCCCACGGACAAACGCAAACAGUCCUGAGCAAAUCCUGCACGCCCUGCUCCACUCUUGCCCCUUCUAGCUGCCUCUGUUUCUGAAGCCCAGGCACUAAGGCGACAUUCUGAGGUUCAAAAGCCCAUUUUCGGUCUUUUCCUUGGAAAGGUGCUCCUAAAAUCUGAAAGUAUGCCACUUUAGGAUGCAAGUAGAUCUUUGUCCUGCCUGCCUGGUGAUGGAUUGCAGGGCACCGUUCCUGAGCCAGUGGCCUCAGUGAACACUGAAUACUGCCUGAGUGUCCACGCUGCACAGGGAGAAGCCAUGGUGGCAGCUGCAGAAGGAAUGCCCGCCUGGACAGGCCCUUGGAGAGGAAAUUCCUUGAGGUGUUAUAAAGGGAGCUUCCAUCGACAAAUGGGUAUUUCCGAAAGUGUGGGGAGAAGACCUGGUCCCCGGGCACCAUUGUCAGCAUCAGAGCCUGCACAGCUGAGUCGGGGUGAGCCAAGUGUUAAUUCCUUCGUUGUUUUCGGAGAAGCAGGACUUCUUCCCCCGAGGUGACUCAUUCCAACCCCAGGUCAAGAAGGAGGUGACUCUCAAUACAUCUGGGCUCACUCUCCACGUUGUCUUCCCAAGGCUUUUGGGAGAUUGAUGACUGGAUGACAAAAUCAGGACGGCACUCGGUGACUUUCUGCUGGUUCUAGAGAAUCCAAAUGAAAGUUCUACCCUGAACCUGCUCUGCGAAGGGGACCCACAUGAGGAAAAUGAUAAAAGAUAAUUCCAUUUCCACUGUGAAAGGAACCUUGCUAGAUAGCCUGUUGGCCUUACCUUCCAAACAGAUCCAGAAUCCCAGCACUUUCCCCUCAUUCCCUGCUAACUCCCCAGCCCAGGCAGGGCAAUUUAUUGCAUGCCCAGCUCUGAUGUAUGUGCAACGGUGCCCCUAGGAUUGUGGGUGGCACAGCCAGCCUGGGGUGGCCUCGUGAUAACCAGUGAUAUGGUUUGGCUGUGUCCCCACCCAAAUCUCCUCUUGAAUUGUAAUUCCCACAAACCCCACAUGUCAGGGGAGGGACUCGGUCAGAGGUCAUUGAAUCAUGGGGGUGGUUACUGCCAUGCUGUUUUCAUGAUAGUG